rnacentral:tRNA from 1 species
AAGUCGUUAGCUCAGUUGGUAGAGCAGUUGACUUUUAAUCAAUUGGUCGCAGGUUCCGAAUCCUGCACGACCCACCA